AUUGAACGCUGGCGGCAGGCCUAACACAUGCAAGUCGAACGAGUGGCGGACGGGUGAGUAAUGUCUGGGAACCUGCCUGAUGGAGGGGGAUCACUACUGGAAACGGUAGCUACUACCGCAUACUAUUAGAUCUGCCCAGAUGGGAUUAGCUAGUUGGUGGGGUAACGGCUCACCAAGGCGACGAUCCCUAGCUGGUCUGCGCGGGUGACCAGCCAAACUGGAACUGAGACACGGUCCAGACUCCAACGGGAGGCAGCAGGGGGGAAGAUGGAAAAAUGGGCGCAAGCCUGAUGCAGCCAUGCCGCGUGUAUGAAGAAGGCCUUCGGGUGGUAAAGUACUUUCAGCGGGGAGGCGUUACCCGAAGAAGAAGCACCGGCUAACUCCGUGCCAGCAGCCGCGGUAAUAC
rnacentral:rRNA from 1 species